UACAGAGGUCUCAAGCGUUGUUCGGAUUCAUUGGGCGUAAAGGGUGCGUAGGCGGCGCGGGUAGUCGUCGGUGAAAGCUCAGGGCUCAGCUCUGAGUCGGCCGGUGAUACUCCCGUGCUCGAGCACUGUAGAGGCAGGUGGAAUUCCGGGUGUAGCGGUGGAAUGCGUAGAGAUCCGGAAGAACACCGGUGGCGAAGGCGGCCUGCUGGGCAGUAGCUGACGCUGAUGCGCGACAGCGUGGGGAGCAAACAGG
rnacentral:rRNA from 1 species